rnacentral:lncRNA from 1 species
UUUUUGUAAUUUCGUGACCUCUUCAAGGAGUCACUUUUGGGCGUCGCAAUUAAUGCGAUUUGCACCAAUCAAGUUUUGAAGAGAUAUUUUGACCCUCCCGAUAGCCAUUAGGUUUAGGUUUGCAUUCAUAUAGUAAACAUCCAAAUGUGAUAAGUUUUUAGGUUAAAUUAAGAAAAUUUUUGACUAAGUCACGCAACUAGUCUUGGCUAGGUUGAAAGGGUACCUUGGAUUUUAUCCUUGCCUUUCUUUUCUUCAACCGUGACUCCUGAACUUUUUUCUCUGAUUUUCGAAGACUUGGAGUCGUUUAAAAAGGGUUUUCUCUACUUUUUAUUUGAAAUUCAUUUUUUAGGUGAUUUGGUACACUUUAAUUCAAUACCAAGUGGUGACUCCUAUUUUUUUUAUUAAAAACCCUUUUUAAACUUUUAUUUUUGGGUCAAAAUCGUCGCACUUUUUAAGUCCCAUUUAGGCCCAUUUUCUAAAAAUUAAAAACUAAUUUUUUACUCAAAAUUAAUUAAAAUUCAUUUUUCUAAACCCGAGAUCGUAAAUUUUAUUUUUCUUCAAAAAAUGGGGAGCGACAAUAGUCAAAAUGCAAAACAAGUUUGCAAGCUAGAAAACGAAGUUGCUGUCUGUCGGGAGACGUUUGAUCUUGAUCAAACAUGUUUUACUGGCUAUUCCUUUAUACAUCUUUGCGGAUUUGGAACCCCCAAAAAGUGUUUUGCGCCAAAUUGAGUAGAUUAUGUCUCAAUUUUUCUAGGAAGAAGUGGAUCAAAUUGAGUUGAUUAUGGCAUUUGGAUCACAUCUGCGAGGUGCUUACACUGGAGGACAGGUCGCAUAUUCUCAAUGGAAAGGUUUCAAAUCUCAAUAGGUCGGGAUCUUCUAGUCUGGACGGCCACCUAGAUGAUUAUUUCAAACUUCAGUUAGCCUUGGAAAAGCUUCGAAAGCCUGCCAAUCCCUUAAUUUCGUGAAAGCUCAUUUGAGACCGGUGUAUUCCUCUCAAAAUAUCGAUCUUCAUGUGGCAUUUGCUUAAUUGCAUGCUUCCCUUUCUAGAUAUAUUGCAGCAAUUUUGUUUUCAUUUACCUUCAAAAUGCUCUUUUUGCACCACCGAGGAGACUUUGAGACAUUCCUUCAUAGAGUGUUAGGUAGCUAAUCAAGUUUGGGAGUGGUUUGAGCAGUUGCUAGGUCUUCAAAGAGUUGCUACGGAUUCACUCAUACAAAAACUACAAAGUUGGUGGAUGCAUACCUUUGGGAGCUCUCUAAAAGCUGCCUUAGCUCAUUUUUUGGCUGUGUUGAUUUGUUGGGAAUUGUGGAAGGCAAGGAAUAAGGCCAUUAUGAGGAUGUGGUCAUAUCUCCAGAUCAAAUUUGCCGUCAGGUCUCUUGGUCACUUCACAGUAUUGAAGCAGUUCAUUCCUUUACUACCUCAAGUCAAGAAGACGAUGUCUGGCUGAAUUUGGGAUUGUUACCCUUUUCAAGAAGGCUGGCAUCAACAAAAUGCAUCACUUUAGUUUGGUCCUUGCCAUUCUUCCCCUACAGUAAGUUGAAUGUUGAUGGCUCAUCUCUUGGAACCUAGGUUAUUCAGGAGGACGGGGUAUUAUAAGGAAUCCUAAUGGCCACGUGGCCACGUGCAGGGUGUUCUCUCAUUCUUCUAUGGAUUUCACACGAACAUGGAAUUAGAGGUGAGGGCUCUUUUGGAAGGUCUCCAACUUUGUACAUCUCUUGGAUUAACAAAGGUGAUAGUGUACAUGGAUUUUGUGCAAUUGCUUAACUUAGUAAAACAAAUUUCAGCUCCGCCUUGGAAGAUUGAUGUAAUCAUUAGGCAAAUACAGUAGGUGUUAACCCAAGUCGAGUUUGUUUUGGAACAUUGCUAUAAGGAGACCAACUCAACAGUUGAUGCACUUGUGAAGCAAGCAGCAAUUACGUGACAAUCAUUAUUUAUAAUGCUACCACUCUAUCAAAGCAAGUGAAAGGAAUCUUAUGUUUAGAUGCUAGACAAUUCCUUUAUAUUCAUAUAAAGCAAUAAUUGUAACGGAGUAGUACCCCUAGUCUUUUAGCUCUAUUCUCACACUACUCUGUAACUUUAUCAAUUCAGAUUAAUAAAUUGGGGCUGGCAUCUUGCCCCGUGUACGGGGCUUUAAAAAAAGUUGCUCAAAUACAUGUGAUUGAUACAAAAUGAAACUUAUACAAAUUUAUAAUUUAAAGAGUUAGUUUCAUUCUUGAAAACCCUAAUUUCCUUACGAAGGUAAGAAAAUAAAUGUCCUUUAAAGUAUGUAAAAUGAACACUUAUCAAAUUUCCCCACACUUAGAUCAUUGUUUGUCCUCAAGCAAUAGGAAAAACCAUACAACAAUGAUUUAAGAAUGAACUAAAUAAUGUGAAACUUUUAAAAUGCAACUCCUCAUCAUAAGUUUGUAAACUAUCAUUAUGCAAUUAUUCAAAUUGCCAUAAAUACUCAUAAUAUCAAGUAAAAGAGAAAUAAUUAUAUCUUAAUUUCAUAUCAAACUUAAUCUUUUAGUCUAACUAAAUUGUACAAGUAAUCAAAUCAUAUAAUUACUUCAAGUUUUUUCUCUUCCAUAUCACUUUUCUUACUUCAAGAGGGAUUUAUUCUUUUUUUACUAUCAAUAGCUCUCUCAAAUUGUGAAGAGGCUUUUUGAUGCGAAAAUCGACAUUUUUAAAUGAAGAUCCCUAGUUACUCAAAACCUUACUUAUUCAAUCUACAUUAUAUACUCUUAAUUUAAAUACCUUUUGAUGCGAAAUUUAACAUUUGUAUAUACUAACCCCUGGUUACUUAGUACUUAAAUCAUAUGAGGAACACAAUUUUUUUUAAUCAAGGUAAAGGUUGAUGAAUUCCCUCAAGAAAUUAAAGAAUAGGAAGAGAAUAACUCUAUUAACUAUAUCAAUCAUUUACUUAUGAAAUCUAUUAAAGCAAGAAAUUUUUUUUAACAACAAAAUUUUAGGCAUAAUUUUCUCUAUUUCACCAAAAUAUGCAAAAAUUCUAAUCACAUAAUAAUACUUUCCAAGCCAAAUAUGAAAUUGACUUCCUUAGUCAUAUAAAUCUAUUUCAAAAUAUAGGAAAAAUUCAAUUCUAAUAGCAGGAACUAGUGAACUUUUGAAAACUUUUGGGGGUAAUUUUGCAAUUUGGCACAAGAUUUUCAAAAAAAUUUUGACAGAAUUUCCCUUUAUAUCUGGGCGAAACUCCUUGCUAACAAACUCAAAAUUUUCAAAAAUACAAGCACAACUAACAUGUCCAAUAUCAAGGCCAACAAGAAUUCAUGAAGCGUAAAUAUCUCCUCCCCCACACUUAGAAUACACAUUGUCUUCAAUGUGUGGGAAAGAUAAAACAACAAAAGAAAGAAAUACUCCCUAACUACAAAGGAUGAAGGCCAGUGCAACCAUGAGUUUACAAACAUCUAGUCUACUGCUUAAUAAAUACUGUAGAUAAGUCAGAAGUAGCACGGCAUAAGUCCUACUAUUAGUAAUCCAUAAAGCAAAAGAAAUACUACUAAAAUUGAAACAAGGACAAUAGCAAAAAGAAACAGAGAGCAAAAUUGAGGCAAUGGCUCCAGAAGUGGCUGUAGUGCCCUGAAAUCCUUAAUCCUCACUAGAAGGUGCAUGAGUGAAUGGUUAGAGUUGGGAAUUGCCCGAGUGAUCCUCGAUGCGACGCACUCGAAUGUCUUAGCAUUCAAAAUUGGCAUCAAUUUGAUCAAAGUGUUCCUCCACCUGGGUUUGAAAACAAUUAAUUAUGUUGAAAAGGUGCUACCAAUUUGAUUGGGAAGGUGGAGGUGGCAGUGGUGGUGCAGACGUUGAAGAGCUAGUUUCAUCUUUAUUUCAUGGAGUGGACAAUGAAGACUACUGAUCCCUUGCUUGGCUAGAUCUUCUAGGCCUUGGUGGAUGAAAAAUAUCAGCAGCCCUUAUAGUCAAUUCAUGUAGAGUAUAUUCAUUAAUCUCAUAAAUAACCCUCACAUGCACCUUUUCCAUGUCUUUUGUAUUAACUCUCUCUUAUUCAAAUAGCAACGAUAAGAGAGUGGGAACCCAAACCUAAAAUUGGUAGUAUGAUGCCUAGCAACCGUCUUUAUAUAGUUGAUAAUGAUAUUCAAGAGUGGAAUCUAAGCAUAUGGAGAAGUUCGAUUGUGGAACAUUCGAUCCAAGAAAUAAAGAUCACUAUUGCAGACUUCAUUCAUGCUACUCUUCUUGGGAAUCACAUUUCUUGAAAACAAAUGUAGGAUCAACCGAUGGCGUGGUUCAAAUGUACUAGCUGUGAGUGUAGAUCUUUGAGAAGUUCUAGUGUAAUCAAAAGAUUGGUUAAAGCGCAUCAUGACUAAAAUAGGAUCCCAACCGUCAUUAGGUGAGUGAAACUCCUUUUUCAAGUCAAUGCUUGGACCUUCACUAUUGCACCCAAGAUGAGCCACCAAUGUAUCUCGAGUGAUUGUCAAUUGCUUCCCAUGGAUACAAGACUUGAUGACCUCUCUACUAUGCCCACCUUUGUUCAUUAUAUUGGCGUAGAACUUUUUGAUCAAAGUUGGAUAGAUAUAACUUGGAAGAGAUAAUAUUGGAGCCCAACCAAGAAUGUUAAAAUGCCUCACUGAUUUGAAAAUUUGAAUCUAUUUCUGGGGCUACAUGCAUUUCAUAAACGAACUCUCUCUGCUCAUGUGCCUUAAACCAUUCUUGAUUCUCCUUUGGAGUGAAUCUAAUCGGAUCAUAAUUUAGGAGAACUCGCCAACUUGUUGAACGUCUUGUGGAUUGAGUUCAUGGUGGUGGAGAUGGAGAAGAAACAUGUUCUAGUUAUGGAUAUAUCUCAUCCUUACAAUUAUGGACUUAUUCCAAAAGAUAAACAGGUUAUAGGCUUGUCCGGUUAAUUAGUAUUUUCUAUGGUUCUGUUUGAUAACAUAAUUUAAUACUUAAAUUUAAUGGAUUCAGAUCUUAACAUAUUCAGAUGGUUUGAUAAUAAAAAAUUGAACAUCUUAAUUAAUUAAGUGAUACUGAAUUUUCUAGACAAAACAUGCUCUCAAAAUUAAGUGAUAAACUAUUAGCUUAUCGCUGAACGUGAUAUACACUCAAAUAUAUUAGAUUUAAUAUUUAACAAUUCAAUAAGCUAAUGAAUUCAGAUUUCAAAUUUUAGAUUUUAAACUUUAAUUUUAUCAAACACCCUCUAAGUCUCACCUUCCUCACUUAACCCAAAUUUCUUCUCCCUCCCUUUUCCACUAGCUCCGCCUCUCUUCACUUCCUUCUCUGCCCCCACCCAUCGCUCCAAUAUUUCUCCUCUUCUCCGCCAUGGCCAAAUCAAUACACAACUCUUUCCUUCGGCUCCUGCAAACGUUGCCUAUCUAGCUUUUUUGUCGAACUCGAUAGUUUCAUAUUAUAUUUUCCUCUUAUAUUAAUUUUCUUGUACCCAAAUCUUCCUUCCCUACAUAAAAAUUUCCACUCAAAAUUUAAUGCCCUGUUUGGGUUGCAUUUUUUUAUGAGUUUUUAUAGAAAAAUAUUGUGACACUUUUUUUAGAUAUGAUGUUUUUGGAUUGUAUCUUCGAGGAGUUGCUCCUUGUUUGGUAAGCCAUUUUUCAUCAAAAAAUUUCUAGAUGGUUCGUGAACAUAUUUCUCAAUCACUUUUUUUCCCCUUACAUAUAUCAAAUCGUUACAGUAUAUUUUCUAUAAAAAUUCUAGAAAAUUGCAAUUCAAACAGGAAAUAAUACAUUUACAUCUAUUUGAAAUGUUGAAUUAUUGCCAAACAGCAGCAAUAGCAAGCAAACUUCGAACUAUAGUAUCCAAACAAAAUAGGGGCAAAUGCUUCUUCAUAAUGAAUGACACGUUCUUCUGCAAAAUCCUUGGCAACUAGAUAAGCCCUUGUAUCCCUGAUCAGUGGUGCUAUCAGAUCGAGUCUCGAUCUCACGUAUGUAUUUUAUCCAGAGCGGAUUUUCCAAGAGCUAGCUAGAUCAACAAGAUCCCAUGAAUGUGUAUAUUUUGACAACAGCUUGCAGUUGGUGGAAAAAAUGGUGGUGGAGCAUUGACAUGCUUCAGAAAGUAGGAUCAUAACUGGAUUAGACAUGCUUCAGAAAGCAGGAUCAUUGACAGAAAGAAUGGUGGAAAAGUCAUGAAGAUCGAGUAGAAAGUUCUCUUAGCUAAGGUUAUUCUAAUAUAGCAGAUGGUGAUGGAGCACGUUAUCGUAAGACUUAUUAGGUUAUUCUAAUAAUGUUGCAUCUCCGGAUGUACCAAAACUCUUGAGAACCAAACAAAUCAUAAUUAGGUGCCGACUGAGAGUUGGAUUGAUAACUUUGAAUUAUCUUGAUUAGGAAAGAGAACUAACAAAGGAAUUAGUGACAAAGGUAAUAUUGAGUUAGAAAUACAUAAAACUAACUUGGCCAAAUUAAGAAUAUUUGGCAACUUUCUUGUUUUUAUUCCUAUCUUAGAUUUGUUAACAAAAACUAACAUACAUAUAUAUAUAUAGAACCUUACAGUUUUUUUUUUGAAGGAUCGAACCUUACAAACUUAAUAAUAUAUUAAAUCGUAGCCAAGAAUAAUGAAAAUUAGUCUAGUAAUUGACAUAUUUUACUCCACUAUAUUUUGCUUAACCUUAACCCACGGGUUUCGAAGAAUAAGGCGUUUCAAUUUUAGAACCUUGUGCAUGGGCUAAUACCCGGACCUAAUCAUAGGAAAUAGGAUACGGCUUAUGCCGGGGCUUGUUUAUUUUGGAGCUUACAUCAUUUAAAUUCAAGGGUUUAACCUACUCAUCAGAAGAAUUGACUGACUUUCACCAAGAAAGAGAAGUGAAGGGGGUAACACUUCACCUUUAUAAAAUAUGAUGAGUGGUGCAUCUCUGUACAUCAUUGGAGUUAAAUUGUCAAGAUAGAUAAUCAAUCCAGUUGAUUAAAAAGUUUGGAAAAAUAUAGUUUUUAGUCCCUAAUAUUUAAUACUUGUGCGGUUUUAGUUUUUAAAGUUCAGAUAAAAAUAAAUCCGGUCCCUGAUGUUUAGUACCUGUGUAGUUUUAGCCAUUAAAGUUUUGGCAAGAGCAAAUUUAGUCCUCAAUGUGUCCAAUUUCAAGCAAAUUUAGGAUAUUUGAAGAAUUAUUUUGAAUUAUUCACAGAAUUUAGUCACGUGCAGUAAUGUGCAUGUUAAAUUGAAUUCAAAAAAAUAAAAAAGUAAAAUAGCUGCUAAUUUUGAACAAUAAGACUAGGACUAAUAAUUCAUGUACUAAUUAAUUAGUAUGCACUUUAGAUACAUGAUAGAUAUGCAAAAUUAGAUUUUAAAUUCAGAUUCAGAUUAAUUGUUAUGCAUCAAAUAGUAAAAAUAGAUACAUUAUCAGUAUAUUAAAAAUUAAUUAUUUAUUAAUAACUAAAUAUAGAAUCUUCCACAUAUCUCUAGAUUAGAAAAUUGUGAAUCUCAAAAAUCAAAUUAAAGAGGGUAAGAAUGGUUGUUGGUGCAAUUGUUCACGACUGUUUUGGAAUGAUGCACAAUCUUUUUCCAAAAAUAAAUUUAUCAGAAACUAAAAAUAAACCUUAUUUGUAACUUUGUAAUAGCAUGUGGUAUUCAAUUAUCAUUCACGUAAGUCGAUAAUUGUGCUAGAAUUACACGAGAACAUUUCCGGUUUUUUUUUUUCAAAUUAGUGGCAAUAUCAUGAACAUCAAGCUAAUGGAUGGGUUGUCUACUUCUAUCUCACUCCUUUUGUUUUGAGAAAAAACAAUUAAAUACUCCUUUUUGUUUUGAGAAAGAAGAAAAAAAGUCCAUUUUAACCUCACCAUCCAAAUCCAAUGAUUAGUUUUAAUCGUUGUUAAAAAAUAAACAAACAAAUAAAUCAGGGAGAAAUAACAUUUUUAGUUCCAAUGUAUGGCCCAUGUGCCAUAUUGGUCUUUAAUGUUUUGACUAUCAAAACGAAUUUGGUUUCUAAAGUUUCUAAUUUUAUGCAAAUUUAGAAUAAUUGAUAGAAAUCUAACAAUUCUAACGGUUAAUCAACUUCUUGUUAUUCAAUAGUAUUCAGUUUGUACUUUUGGCCCCCGUUAUUUAGAGUUUGAAUUAUUAUAGUCCUUUAAGUUUCAAAUAAUGAUAUUAAGGGUUUUAGGAUGGAAAAAGAUACAAACUGAAUUGGAAUUGCCUUACAUAAGUACAGAGUGCCAACUAAACUUCUUUUUCCUGCUUGUUUUAUUUUCUUUGUUUUAUCUAUUCAUGCCACUAGUUUUUCCAUAUCUUUCUUUUUUUGGCACAUAUUAUUGGUCUUGAAUUUGGCAUAAUAUAUGCAAUUAUUCUUUGCAUUAUGAAUAAUUAAUAGACCAUGAGUUCUAUAAUUUUUUUUCACUUACAUUGAUUAGUAAACAUGUAACUAAAUAUUCCUUUGAAAUAUGUGCAAUAUACACUGUAUGUAAAUUAAGUUGAUAAUCAAAUAGCUUUUCCUUUCUUUUUUCUUCUCCUUUUUUUUAACAUUUCAAUAUUAUCAAGUAAGUUUCAAAUGAAAUAUAUAUUUUAUAGAAUUAUUUGAAUUAUUCAAAAAAAAUUAUCAAUGUUAUGAAUAUUAAAAUAAUUGCUUUAAAAAUUUAUCAGUGGAGCGUAUAGUUUUAAUACAAAGGAAAGAUAAGGAAAAUUUUUUUUUUUCAAAAUUGUCUAAAAGCACUUUUACUGGUAUUUACCUCACUAGUUAUUGUAUAACAGUUUCUAACUACAACCAUUUGAAGUCCAUGUCCUCAAGUAUUGCAAGAAUUUGUAUAAUGGUAGUUAGAUUAAAGUUACACGUUUAAAUUAAUAUUCUUUUUUCUUUAGCUAGCUUUACCUUAUAUAUUUUUCAUGUAUAGCUUUUAAGUUUGUAACUAAUUUAAUAAAGAGUCACUCUUUAGCUAAAGGAUAGUUUUGUUACGAUGUGAAGUGUUUUUUGAGAUUUUUGUCGGUAUUUAGGAACACAUUUGUUAUAGUACAUAUUUUAUUCAAUUCAUAUUCAAUUUAUUUUAUGACUAUGCUUAUUUAAAAGCUAAGGGACUAUAUUAAUCGAAAGUUCAAACUUUAGGAAUAAAAAUUUUAAAGUCAAAACUUUUGAAUGACACGAAUUUAAUUUUGAGUAUUAGUUAUUCUAAACUUGCUUAAAUAUGAAAAUUUGAAAAUUAAAUUUAUUUUGCUCGAAAGAAAUAUUAGUAGAGGUGUCAAAAUGGGUGAUUUGGAUGGAUUUGCGUUCGGUAAAAUGGGUAAUGGGUAUAAGUGAGUCAACCCAUUUAUACCCAUUUAAUUAGAUAAGUAUAAAUGGGUAAGUCAAAAAUUGAAUUGGGUAACCCAAUUAUCCAUUUAUAACCCAUUAAUUUUAACUUUUUUUAAACUCAUUUAAAUUCAUUUCUGCAAACUAAAUUAUCAAUGUAUACCACAUUUUGCACCUAUCAUUAGUUUUAAAUAUUUACUUAUAAUACUCAAUAAGCCUAAUUAUCAAUUUUUCCCAUCCGUAUUCUAUGUUGUAAAAUUACAUAUUAUUUAAUAAUUGAACAAUAAGAAUAUAAAAAUUGAACUAAGUACUAUAAAAGUCAACAUAAAAACUUAAUUAAAAAAUCUUGAAACCCUAGCAUUUUUUUUGUAUGUAAAUUUAAAUUUUUAAUUUGAAAAGAUAAAUUGGUAAUACUGAAAAAUGGGCAAGUUAACAAACUAAGAAAAAAUAAAAUGAUAAGAUAAAACCAACAAAUAAUAAUAAUAAUAAUGAAACAAAAGUAGUUAAUAUCAUAACAAAAUGAAAAAUUUGAAAAAAAAAGGGUGGGGAAAGAGAGGAGGUUUGAUGGGUUACAAUUCUAAAUGGGUUAAUUGGAUUUGAUGGGUUAUCCAAUAAUACCCAUAUAUUAAAUAGGUAUUAUUGAGUAACCCAUUUAUAUUCAUAUGCAAAAAUUUAAGAUACCCAUAUCCAUCUAUUUAUGAGCGGAUAUGGGUAAAUUUAAUUAAAUGGGUUUGUUUGCCACCUAUAAAUAUUAGGGACUAAUUUGACACAUUGGCCAAACAUUGAGGAUAAAAACUGCAAUUUUCCAAUAAAUAAGCACCAACCUGCUUACAAAAUGCGUAGUUAACGAAUUGGUUCCUCAGCUGUCACCUACUACGUCAGAGGCUCAACCACCAUACUUUCUUCCACCAACUCUUUCCUCUCUUUCCUCUCUGUACUGGAGUUGACUCUUUCCUCUCUGUCGUGUGUGAAAAUGGCGGCAGCAGCAGGAGAAGAAGUGAAAGUGCCCAGAAUCAAGCUCGGUUCGCAGGGGCUUGAAGUUUCAGCUCAGGGGCUGGGCUGUAUGGGCAUGUCAGCCUUCUAUGGCCCGCCCAAGCCCGAGCCCGACAUGAUCAAGCUCAUCCACUAUGCUAUUGACCGAGGCAUCACCCAUUUCGACACCGCCGAGAUGUACGGGCCGUACACCAACGAAAUACUCGUCGGCAAGGUACUGUAGCUUGAACUGUAUGAUUCUUGAUUGUUGUACAUCAUGCUUUAGUACUUGUACCUUAGUCCAGUUUCUCAGCUCCCCAGUUACAAAUGUGCAAGUGCAGUGGUUAGAUAGCUCCUUUCCUUGGUUAACUUUUUGGAAUUGAUAUUGCGUUGGGACUCAGUAUUUUUUUUAAAAAAAUAUUUUUAAAGACUCAACAGUAUCUUCUGUGUCUCUGCUUCGCAUGGUUUAUACAAAAUCCAAGGUGAAAUUUGGAUUAGAGGAAACUGUAAAUGAACUAGAGGAAUGAAUCGGCUAUAGCUCCUAUAUGAACUACUGGGAAGAUCAUAGCGAAGAAGUAGUCGAGACCUAACAAAAGGAGUAAACCUGAAGUGUUGUGAAAGACUAUGAGUUAGAAAUAGUUUGGCCUCUUUAGACAGGAUCAUCAUAUAAAGGAAACAAAUAGCAUAAUAUUAGUUUGUAGAAGUAGGCAAGAUUGAGAUAUAUUCUGUCCUGAGAACUGAUCAGGUAAAACUGUUUGUAUUGAUAUGUAUUAAUCUGUGUACCCUGGAUGAUUAAUGUUUUGAAAGAAUGAAUGUAGGCUUUGAAGGGAGGGAUACAAGAGAAAGUGGAGAUAGCAACAAAAUUUGGGGUCAGAUUUGUGGAUGGAAAGCGGGAGGUUUGUGGUGAUCCAGCUUAUGUAAGGGCUGCAUGUGAGGGAAGCUUGAAACGACUUGGUGUUGACUGCAUUGAUCUCUACUAUCAACAUCGGAUUGAUACACGUCUUCCCAUUGAAAUCACGGUUUGCUCCAGUUUUCUUUUGUGUUUUAAAUGUUCAUUCUUAUGCUUGAUGAAUUGAAACUUUGCAUGUAAGUCAGAUUAACUGUUAUAAUGGUUUGUAUGAUUGCGACCUUUUUUAGGCCCAAGAAGCAGAUUAAGAGGUCUGACAAUACAUAGGAAUAUGGAACUUUGGCAAGCAAAUAUCAGUCACUUUUCCAAUUUUAAGUCAGAAAUUUAUACUAGAUGUCACUUAUGUGAAAAAUGAAGAAAAGGAAAUUUUUUCUUUGUACAGCUUUGCGGACAUUUUUAUUUGUCAAGCAUGGCAAUUUUCAGAUUUAUGUUUUGUAGCCAAGUGUAAAUUUAUAAACAUGGUAACUAAGCUGAAAGCCACAUCUGCAGCUAAACAGAGUCAAUCUUAUGCUUUUAUCCCUGUGGAAGUGCUUAUUUUUUUAUAUUUGUCAAGAUUUUAAAAUGCUAUAUUCACUUAGUCAAUUGCUGUUCAAGAACCACUUUCAAUUUGUGUCUGUGAAUAUGCUUUUGUUGAUGUUCUGCCAGAGAGAAGCCAAUUGACUUUUGUUUAACAUGCUUUGCAUCCCCAAAGUAUGCUGGAAGACACCAAUUACUCCACUAUCCUGUUUCACCUUCUGCUUUGCAGUUGAGAUCCACAAUAUUGUUCAUUUACCAAGAAAGGAAGCUUUUAAAUCGUCUCUGAAAAAAUAUCCUCCAAGUCCCAGAAAAUCGUGCAAUAUUCGAUUGCAAAUAUAUUGAUGGUGCAACUGUCUUUGGCUCACUAUAGAUGGAGAUACUGUCAUGAUAUAUCACUUUAUACAAACACUCUAUUUCUGUGUAACAGAUAUUUAUGCCCUAAAUACAGUAGAAAGGCCAUUUGUUAGAGCAUUAAUUAACUGUAUCUAAUCUACUAGUAGUUGUGGUACUAGAUGUAGGAGAAAUGGAAUAGAUGAAAUUUGGUCUCAUUCAACUUUAGGACGAGAUUGAGUUUCAUAUGCUGUGCAAUUGGUUCAGAAGUUGCAUGGUCUAGGAGUUUGACAUAGUAAUUUAGAUGACGAUAAUACUGGUUGUGAUACUAGAUGCAGGAGAAAUGGAAUAGAUGAAAUUUGGUUGCAUUCAACUUUGGAGGAGAUUGAGCUUCAUAUGCUGUGCAAUUGGUCCAGAAGUUGCAUGUUCCAUGAGUUUGACAUAGUGUUUUAGAUAAUGAUAAUACUUGUGUUGAAAUAUAUGUACCAGCAACUGAUCCCAAAAAGGAAAAAGGGAAAAAGAAUUGUUUAUAUGUGCACAAAUAUUGUUGCCUGAUUAGCAUAUUACUAUACGUUGUAUGACCUUCUUUAAGAUAUGAUGACCUGUGCUUUGUCUUUAAUUUGAGAUGUCCUAUCUUGUUGAAAUUCGAUAUGCCAUUUCUGUCCCCCCUUGUGGCUUCUCUUCUUGUAGUGCAUUAAGCAAUGUGGGCAGUCAUUAGUUGACAUGCAUGGUUCAAGUUGUCCUUUUUAUAAACAUUUGUGGAACUUUUUCUAUGCUGUUUUAGUGUUUAGCCCAGAAACAGUAUUGCUUGAUUUCUUUAGGAUUAGAAAGAAAUUUUCUCAAAAUACAUUGACUCAGUCCAUCACAGAGUUGAACAAAAUCAAACAAGAUUGGUCAGAUACAAGUUUUGCUUUGUUUAUGAAAAACCAAGAAUGCCAAAUGAAUCAUAUUGUUGUUGCAAGAAGAGCUAUUUCAACUAUUUGGGUUAAAACAAUUUCCUUUCGAGCACUAACCUUUAGUGGCAGCUAAUUACCACUACAUCUUUGAUGUUAUUGGCUUGAUGUGUAUUUGAUCGAAAUUGCACCACUGCAAUGAACUAUGUACUUCGGCCACGUACAUUUAGAUUUCACUUGUCUUGGGACAAUUAAUACUGAACGAGCUUUUUAUAAUAGCAUCUGUUCCUUCAAAUUCUCUUUUUCCUAGAUAGGAGAGCUUAAAAAACUGGUUGAAGAGGGUAAGAUAAAGUACAUAGGUCUGUCUGAGGCCUCAGCUUCAACAAUUAGAAGAGCACAUGCUGUUCAUCCUAUAACAGCUGUACAGCUCGAGUGGUCAUUGUGGACCAGAGAUGUGGAGGAAGAGAUUAUUCCUACUUGCAGGUAUGGGAGUUUUCUGCUUUACUAUCUUUAGGGUGUGCAAAGAAUAUGCUACUCUAACUCAUUUUUCUACAAUCUUUUAGAGAACUUGGCAUAGGAAUUGUGGCUUACAGUCCACUUGGACGAGGAUUUUUCUCAUCAGGUGCAAAGUUGAUGGAGAAUUUGGCUGAUGGUGACUUCCGAAAGGUUUGUGCACAUUCAUUAUGAUCAAGUGCAUUUUACUAUAGAAUGUCUAUGGUUAGUACGAGUCUGUCAUUUAUCUACUUAUAUCACAUUCACUAACUGUCUUGCUUGAUGUUCCUACCCUUUGUCUAUUUGCUGUACUUUCUGAACUUUUCAAAAUACAAUAGUUUGGUUAAACCUCCCUUAUGCAAUCAAAGUUAUUGAAAUUUCAACGGAAGAGAAGGACAAAGCAUGUCUUUUGACAUUGUUGUGCGUAUUCUACAUGCUAGCCUAAUUCAAAGGCACAUUACAAUUUUGUCAGCUUAUGAUAAUAGCUUAAGAGUACUCUUUGUUAACCAAAGGAACUUCCCUUGGUGAGGCUCAUUCAAAUCAAGAGUGAUUUUUUAAGGCAAAGGAGUUAGGCAACGAGCUGUAUCUUGUGGGCCAAGGUGAAGCCUCAAGGCAUAGGCAUAAGGACUUGCAUUUAUUAAAUUACUAUUAAAACUGGAGAUAUAACCUUUAAAAUACCUACCAAGUUAUAGUUGGAGGGUCUAAACAGGUUUUAGCACCAUUUCCCUUUCCUUAUUAGAUAAGCAUUUCAAAAGGAUCCACCAUCUCUCUGGGUGAAGGUGUAGUUCCUAUCAAUGUAUAUCCUUCAACCUUGUAAAGGCUUUAGGUCUAGUUCUGUAAGUGAUAGUACUGAUUGAAGUGCUAAUCUUCCAGAUGAUACAUUGGGAGCUAAAAAGCACAACAGUUAGCUCACUAACUUAUAAUCAGAUGACUGCAACUAAUGUCCAGGGAUCAUAGUUUGAGCCAUUUUCGCAUGUUGUAACUCUCACAAAUUUUCUAGCAAGAGCUUUGAAUUACGCAGCCAGCCUAAAUGCUUAUGGCAUGCAUAAUAGAUGACAUCCACACCCCCAAAUUGACUCCCAAAACAUAUUUAUGUCUUAAGGUAACAAGUCCGACUUUGGGUUAAAUGUAUGCCUGACAUAUAGUUGGCCUCACUGUCCCUAACUAGGAAAAAAGAAGAUACUUUGUUAACAGGUCUCCUUGCCAACAUUUGCCAAAGCUAAAAUCUUGAUUUGAUUUGCAUACUAUAAAACUGUGCUUCAACUUGUUUAACAUGUUUCUUUUCCAGUCCUCUUGUCCUGUGCAAUGCUAGAGUAAUCAGUGCUUAUAUAACACUUCUUAACUUGCUAACUUUUGACUUUUUCAUCAAUUCAUACUCGAUUAAUACAGACAGCUUGUUUCCUUUAUGGUAAGGUGCUUGACUUUCUUAAUAAGUAGCUUGAAGAAAGUUAAAGUCACUUUUAAGUAAAUGCUUGUUAAACUUACUAGGGCCUAUUCGCUCUGGCAAUACGUUCCAGAGUUGUGCCUCCUAUAGGUUCUGCAAUUAGAAAUAUACUAGAUGAAGUGUAGGAAAAUCUUAGAAGAGUGAGUCAUCUUUUUUAUGUUAAGCUGUAACUCAGUUAUGAUGAUUAACCUACAUGACUGGAUUAAUAUAUUUCUCAAGUAAUAUUGGUUUCUAUGUCUUGGUAUCUUUUCUACAUUCUGCAGUAGAUAUUGCUGACUUUGGAAUAAUGAGAGAACCUAGCCGAAUUCAUUUUUGUCUUAACUUGCACAGUCCCAUCAUUCCCCUGAAGCUAUGUAAGUUGAGUUUACCAAGCUGCAAAUUUGUCUGCUUUAUUCCCAUCUGAAAAUACUUGCAUAACUGUUUAUUGGUUUUUUUCCUUCUGAAAAUGCUUGCAUAACUGUUUAUUGAGAAAUUUUAAAUUUUAUGUGAUGCAGUUUUUGCCAAGAUUACAACCAGAAAAUGUUGAGCAUAACAAGAGCUUGUUUGAGCGCGUUAAUGACAUCGCUUCAAGGAAGGGUUGUACCCCAUCACAGCUAGCAUUGGCAUGGGUCCAUCACCAGGGAAGUGAUGUUUGCCCCAUACCUGGCACUACCAAGAUUGAGAACCUGAAAGAGAAUAUUGGAGCUUUAUCUGUAAAACUGUUAGCAGAGGAUCUUGCUGAGCUUGAAUGCCUUGCUUCAUCUGGAGUCAAGGGUGAUAGAUAUGGGUCCGGCACUGCCACUUGGCAAAAUUCUGAUACUCCACCUUUGUCAACAUGGAAGAGUGCAUGAAAACGACCUUUGUUGUGGUGAUAAUUCUUAUAACCAUCUGCCUGAUGGUCCAUUUUCAUUGCUUUGAGGGUUUAAUAGCUUUGUUCCAAUAAAAAGUUAAUCCUUGUGGUGACCACAGAUUCUGUAUUUGAUUAAAGAUUGGGUCGUGUGAAAAAACUGGUUGUUCUUGUACCAGGACAUGCUGAGUAUAUCUUUUGCAGCUCUUGAAUGAAUGGAUAUGAUGUUUUAUCCUUUGUAUUCUAUGUGUGUAUAUCUGUAUGGACCCCUUAUGUCGACCAUAUAGCUGCAAAAAUGAUGCCUGUGCUACCUGUAUGAAACCUGUGAAGGGCUCUAUGUUUAAUGAGUAAGAAGUCCAUUUACUAGACAAAAACAAUGACACAAAAUGUGACCAAUAAAAUUGGAAUAAAAUAGUGCAUAGAGAACUCGAAAUGUAAAUGCCAUAGAUGACAUCUGUAGACUUUAAACAAAUUGGAAAACAUCUGAAUCUCUCUCAUUUUCUAUGCACAGUCGUAUUCUUUUCAGAAGAAGUGCGGAUUCAAUUGAAUAUCAAUGGGAAUAAAAUUAGAGUCAUCAGAAUGGGAAAAAAGGCAAGAAAAGAAAAGGAAAUGAUCGUACUGAGCUGAUAUUGAAGUGUUUUCUUUUGGCUGUAAAUCCGUAAUUGCAAGCUCAUUGGAGCCAAGAACAGAGGAUGAUGAAUUCUUUGGUUCAGCAGGUAGAAGCCGAGUAAAAGAAGGUGAUUCUUUCACACUUCAGUAGUAGUGGGAAGCUUUGUACAGUAGAUGUUGCCACAGACACACCAUGAAGCUGUAAGCAGCCGCACACCAUACAAAAAGUCGUGACUUUUAUUUCUGAGUCCACAGUGGUAAGUGAUGAGGUGAUUUCCGAAUGGUUGGACCGAGUCAAUCUUGAAGAAGUGACUUUCGGCUGAAAGACCUAGUUGAAGGAAUUCACCUGUCAGAUCUGCAAUGUAUGGGGCUUUAUCCUCCGACCUUACUUCGACAAUUAAGUCAGUUCGGAUAUUCAAUCUCAAACUAAAAGUGGUUUAAGAACCUCAAGUAUGUGUGUUUGUGAGUCCAUACCUUUCCUACGGAUGGGAGGGUAUUUAUAGUGGACAGAACGGUGUGAAAAAUGAUGAAUUUUAAUUUCCAUGGAUCUGAGACUGACGGGGACAGUGUUAGGCUUAAUAGAUAGGACAUAUCAAUGAUCAUGCCAUUCUGUCAUAUCACUGUCAUGUCAUUCCAUCAUGUAGAAGUAAGCUUUUCUAGUGCGAUGUCAGGUGCUAGAAAGUGGAACGGUUCGGCUACCAUUGGAAGACUGAGGUCAGCUCCAUGGGAGAGGCAACGAGCCGAGGUGGCAUAGGCCCGAGAGGGUUAUCUUGACCAAUCACUUAACCGAGAAGGGCCGAAAUGACGGCCCUCAGUAAGUAUUAUCUAAUAAAGGAAAUUGGCAUUGAUAUAGUUGCAUAUGGUCCUCUCGGCAAAGUGUUGUUCAUAGUUGGUGCAAAGGUACUUGUGAACAUGACCAGCAAUUGCUUUACUAUUGUGGGGGUUUGUGCUUGAUAGGCUUGUACCUUUACAGUUAUACUGUGACAUAUAGAAGUAUUUUCAUAAAAAUGGUUGAGUUUCAUUUUUCGCUCCAUGCACGUUUUCAUAUAUUGACUUCAACAUUUUGUUUCUUUUUUCAUCUUCAUCAAUUCCAUGAAUUGUCAUUGGUCGAUAACAUGGUUUCUUCUGUUUGAGUUUUAUUAUCUUCAACAUUGUGUUCCCAGUUUUUCUUCUCAGUUUUCAUCAGUUCCAUUAAUCUUGUCACAGUUGAUAACAUGGUUUCUUCUAUUGAGUAGCAUAUGCUAUCUGACUGCAGUAAAUUCUCUUAGGACGGUUGACCACACAAAAGAAAAGAUUCCUGCCCAGGCUCCCUAAUAGAAUGUUUAAUCGAUCCAUUGCAGAUCGACCGAAUUGGUGCAGAAGUUGUAAAACUUUCUACUGCACAUUCCAAGGGUGGUGCACUAAAUCAAAUAAACAAGUGGAAAACAAACAUACAUAAUUGACUAUCCGUAAUAGUGAAAAAAAUGCAGGUUUCAUUUAAGAGUGGAGAUAUUUGAUGAUAGUGUAGAGGCUAUCAUUGCUGUCUUUGAAGAACAAGCAGAAUUGCUGAUUGGUUGUAAAGCAUCUGAAUCCAUACAAAUCUGUAAGCGACCAAGUACAGUCCAAGGCAAAGCAAGUAAUUUUAGUUACACACAAUGUAUGAUUUAAAUCAUAACUGCUUACAUAUCUUUAAAACAUUCAAUUCAGGGAAGAGACAAUACAGCUUAAUACAAAACUAUGAUGGCUUCGAAGUUCGAGAUUUCUCGAUCAGACCAAAACAGAUAACAGGAGAUGCAGCUGGAAAGAUGUCACCGAUAGCGAAUGCAUUGCAGAAAAUUGAAGAAAUCACCAAAAUAGAGCUGUCUGUUAAAAGAUGUUGAUGACAAGGAAGCUUUCACGUCCAGUGAUCCAACAAAUCCAAUCACUAUUGAAGAUGAUGACAACCCACUGGUUGACUUCAAGAAAAGCAGUCCUGGAAAAUGGGAAGUAUGACUGUUGGACCUAAGGGACUCAAAAAUGUCAAGGUAGAUACAAUGCUACAUGUUUAAGUUUCUUUGCUUUCAGUUCUAUUUUCCAUUUGCUGAGUGCUUCUAAGUUUGAUUCCACAAAAACACAAAAGGUUUAACUCCUUUGAUAUUGUGCAUGCUUACUUUUCACAACGCUAAAUUCAUAGCUCUUCAACUUUUGGCAAAGUAAAAUUAAAACCCUUCCUUGCAAUUCAACAUGCAACGCACAUUCUCAAUUACUAGUACUACCAAUGAUCCUACAUGCAGCUGCACUUGUUCUCUUCUAAUUUAAUGUCCAAUUGCCAACGAACUUCUCGAGCAAAUCUGGCUUAACAAACAAACACGAAGCAAGCGUGAUUUGCUGCCCUCAAUUCUCAUGCUCUGUUGCAAAAUUAGACUUUUCUGUUGAUAGAAUUCAAGUAGGCAUAGUAAAUAAGAAAAGAAGUUUAGUAUGUUUGGACAAGAGUUUAUUUGAAAUGAUUAUUGUAACACACACUUUUUGUGACGUGAUAUAUGUGAGAUAAAAAAAUUGUUAGAAAAAUAAAAAUGUGUUAUGUAAGCAAAUAAUUUCCAUGCAAAUAAUGGCUAUCCAAACACAAUGUUUGCAUUAAAAAUGUUAUACUUUUCUUUUUUAUCUUUUCCAAAAUUUCGGUCACUUUUCAAAUAAAAAAGUAAAGUGAUUUGUUUUGUUUUUUCUGAUUUUACCCUCAAGAGACAAGCCUAAAUUUUGUGGUUGUGUGGCCAAGAAAUGACAAUCAAAUCAAGAGUUGGGUAAGCACAUUGCAGGUAGCAACCGUCCAAAAACGGCCACGAUUUGUUAAAAAAAAAAAAAAUGUAUCGCUCAAAUUACAGCUUGUAUGUCAAAUUUAAUAUUGUGUGUGGGAUCUAAAAAUUCUGUUCUAUUUUUACGAAUUGUUUCGGCCUAAACAAUUUUUUUACAACCGUUUUGGACCUUGGUAGUUGGUCCAUCAAAUCAUAUGUCUACAUUCUAAUUGCACGGAUGAAAUAAACAUAAGGCGUCAAAACAGCAAAUACAUCCCUUUGGAUUGCUAAUGCCAACAUCGGCAAGUUUAAUUUCUGUACGUGGCGUCCUGAAAAGUUUUGGGUUAGACUUUCACCCUUAAGUAAGAGUCGGACUUUACGGUACUUUCCGGAUCAAAUCUAAAUUAGUUUCACUAAAGGGUGGAAACACUAGAUACUCAAAGCAACUCCCAAGUAAGAGUCAGAUUCUGCAAGGGCUCUCCAGUCGAAUCCGGAUUAGUCUCGUUAAACGUGAAAAUACUGGAUGCUCAGAGGAAAAAAAAAAAUUACGUCCCUUCGGGGACAUCCGAUAAAAGUCAAAUCAGCAGAUACGUUAGUGUCUUACUUGCCUAAAUUUUUGGCUUGGACAUUUUGAACACCUCUUGUCAUUGUGGGUCCAUCAAGAGCCCCUACUCAUAGUAUCUUUUUUUUUUGGGGUCAAAACCCUACUUAUAGAAUCAAAAUUAGGAUAAUUUCACACCAUGUGGAAACACUUCGGGUAAAAAGUACAAGUCCUACGAAAUUUUUUUGGAAUAGAAGGAGUACAAAUUUAGGGGUGAAGGGUGGAAAUAGUCUUGGAAAUCUUGAAGCAAAGUAUAAAGAGAUCAAGUAUUUAAAAACUAUCAUGCAAGCAAACAAUCAAGCGAAUUUAGUAAAAGCCAGUUGAAAAGAAUCAAUAGUAAAACAAGAGCUCCUGAAAAAUAAUUUAGCCUUAAGUAUGUUGGUAAAAGUCACAAGCGCAAAAAAUAGUUAGAUGCAUUUAAACUCUAUAAUAGUUAUUAUUCACACUCCUUUCCUUUCUAACCAUUUUUCACUUAUGAAACGAUAAAUUUAAUAAAAAGAAAAAAAUAGUGAGAAGAGUGUAAAUAAUAAUUUUGGGAGUGCCAUUAAUGUUUUUCUUCUGCAUGAGGUGAAAUAUCAGUAACGAGACAAGAUUUGAAAGGUUUUGAUUUUCAAACCUCUAAGCGUCCAUUGCAGUUUUAUAAGAUGUCUUAGCCAAAAAAUAAAGGAAAAAGAAACAUAAAAAAAAAAAACACGAUAAUUAGUCACGUGUAGGCCUCCUUGGGUUAGAGUCGUCAACUUUAAGAUUCGUUUGGAAUUGCGGUAGGUUAUUAAAAAAUAGUUUUUUAAUAUAGCUUUUAAUAAAAGUAUUUAUUAGACGUUUGGAGACAUAGUUCAAUAAGUGCUUAUUGUAUUGGAUAAUAUGUAAUUUGAAAAUUUUUAAAUGUAUUUAUCUCUUUAUUUAGUUUAUAAUAUAUGAUAAAAUGAUAAAAUUUAAUAUUUUAUUUUUUAAAUUGCAAAAACUACUCUAAAAAUAUCAAAUUUGAAUUUUUAAUAAAAGUGUUUUUCACACCAAAAAUUCUAUUUCUAAUUUCAUGGGAUGAUAUUCAUAAAUAUUUUUAAAGUACUUUUGACACCUAAAAUAUUUUUUUAUUAGAAAAAAACCGCAACCUUGAAUGGGACCUUUGUUGUGUUGAAGAUGAUGUGGCAAAACUCUAAAGUCACCCGAAAAAGUUCGCCACGGUACCAUAACAUAGAAAAUGAAAGCAAAAUGACAAAAAAAAAAAAAAAAGAAAAGAAAAGAAAUUGCUGACCUUUGCGCUUACAGCAUCCAAGUCCCAAUCAAAUGAACCAUAAAUUAUCCCAUGGAUUUUGUCUUGUCCCUUUUUUUGUUAUAAAAAGAGAAUUUCAUUAACUGAUUACUGAAAAUCGUAUAGCAUGAUUUGAUUUACAUCAUUGAUGAUAGGUUAAACAUACAUUACAAAUUAUAAAUGUGCAAAAUUUAAUAAAUGCAAAAAAUUAUGAAAAGAUAAAAAAUACAAAAAAAUUUAAAAUUAUCUUCUAAGAAAAUAAACAGUUGCAACUCCCUUCUAUGUUAUUGGCUUAUUGCAAUCGCCAGAUUUUAUCUUGUCUUAGUUACUGGUUGAGAAAUACAUACAAAUCGCACACAAAACAGUCACUUCCUAUUUCCUAUUACAAUUAAAGAAAGAUGCUACUGAAAUGCGUUAAAAAAAAGUACUGAAAUUGACGUAAAGUUGUUGGGUGAGAGAGUAAGGCUGUUUUGAUAAUAAACUACCUACAAAUCCAGUCAGUAGUAUUGAAGUCGGUAAUAGUAUAGGUUUAUUUAUUUAUUUAUUUUUUCACAAUUGUCCCAUGACCUAGAACUCAAAAAUUAUAAUAAAAAAUUACGGGAGAUGAACUUCAUCGAACCAAUGUAGAAGGGGAGACAAUUUACACAUAUAGAAUAUGUGUGAGAGAAGAGCAAUAAUACCAAUAAUAAUGUAUUAAUUAUACACCAUAAUAACAAGGCUAUCAAAUUUCACUUUUCUCAACUGAUGACAAUAAUAAGAUUUCUUAUUUAUAGGCUAAAUAAUUUAGUAAACAAGUUUUACAACUAUAAGAAAUUUUCUAAUAAAAUAUUAAUUCCUAAACAAUAAAACUACUAUAACUUGAUUUAGAAUUACUAAAAUUUUAACUUCACUAACCACCGCUAAAUAACAAUAUAGAACCUUCUAUUUUUUUUUAGGGUUGAUUUAGUAUGCCGACAUUGUUUUCCUUAAGUCAAUCUCUCCCAAUUCUAGUUCAACACAAUCAUGAAUAAUAAUCUCUUUUGCAAAUUCUACAAACGUCAAUUUGAAUUAUUCAUCUUCAAGAUUUCGUUGUUGCAAUAUUCCACGCACCUGAACAAAUUUAUCUCGUUGCACAAUUUUCUUUUGACUCGCUAAAAUAAUUCACACUUUUUGGAUAGAUUGUUUUCGUCGCACAAUUUGAUGCCAAUUUAUUGACAACUCAUUUCGUCACAAUUCAAUAAACAGGAUUCUUUUCCGAACUCCAUCUUCACAUAGUCAAUUUGACAAUUUGGAUCUAAUCUUCACCAACUAGAUACUCCACGACCAGCCUUAUGGUCCAACUCAAGCAAUUGACUUAUUCAUAGCAACUAUUAUGCUCUAACUCUGAGAGAAGAAAACACUCAGGACUAAUCUCAUAGCUGGGACAAUUUUUCAAUAUCUACAGGCAUCUCAAGAUCAAUUUAUUGAAUCUAGAAUUCUAAUACCAGAUAUAAAACUCAAAUAUUAUAAUAAAAAACUACGAGAUAUAAAUUUCAUCGAACCAAUGUAGAUAAGGGGGUAAUUUACACACAUAAAAUAUGUGUGGGUGAAGAGGAAUAAUACCAAUAGUAAUAUAUUAAUCAUACACCAAAAUAAUAAUAAUAACACUAUCAAAUUUUACUCUUCUCAACUGACAACAAUAAUAAGACUCUCUAUUUAUAAACUAAAUGACUUGAUAAUCAAGUCUUAAAAGUUUUAAAAUCAUAAGAAAAUUUCUAAUAAAAUACUAAUUUUUAAACAAUAAAACUAUCAUCAUUUGAUUCUAAUAGAAUUACUAAAAUAUUAACUUGACCAAAACAUGGUUAAAUAAUAAUAUAGAACUUUGUGUGUUUGGAUUGCAAUUUUCUGGAAUUUUUUUGUAAAAAACGUAUUGUGAUUUGAUAUAUAUAAGGAAAAAAGGUGAUUGAAAAAUAUAUUCACGGAAAAUGUAAAGUUUUUUUUUUUUAUAAAAAAAUCCCUGUCCAAACAAGGAGGCUUGAUUUAGCAUGUGAACAUCCCUUAAUGCACGUGUUGAGGCAUCAAGAAAGUAUUUAUACUAAAUGGAGAAUCACUGUUCACAGGAAUAGGAAUGGCAACGGGGAGUGUUUAGGGCUAGGGAGGGCGGGGGCCUGCCCUCCCCUGCCCCAUUGCCCACUACUUCCCCCCGCUCCCCCCGGUCCCUUGCCCCUCGCUCCCCCACCCCGCCCCACUUUCUCUGUGGGAUUAAUAAAAAUUUAGCAUAUAAUUUUUAAUCAAAAUUUAGCAAAUAAUUAAGUACUAAAAUAUCAACACAUCACCAAAUCAUUAUUCAUUGUAAUUUUACAAUUGAAAUCCAUAAAAACAAUCAAACAAAAAUUAUUUGAAUACAAUCUAACAUGAUAAAGUAAAUACAAUUAAAGUAGUCAAAAUUUUCACUUUUCUAAUAAAUACAAUCACUAAGUCAUUAUUGUAUUUUUUGAGAAAAAAAAUAUUAUUGUGUUAAGUGUAAUUAGAAAUUUAGUAUAAAUAUAUUAAUAAAUUGAAUAUAACUAAUUAAUAAUUUCUAUUAAUAGAUAUGUAUAAUUAUUAAUAUAAUUGAUAAUAUUAAUUAUAUUACAUAUACUAAUAUACAUUAUAUAGUAUUUAUAAUUAAUAAUAUCAUUAUUAUCAAUUUGUAACUACUUAAAUUAUAUAUUAUAUAUACACAUAUAAAUAUAUAUAUUUUGUAGGUGGCAGGGUGGGUAAUGGAGCAGGGGUAUAUUCCCCUGCCGCCGCCCUGUUUCUUAACGGGGAAAAAAAUUCCCCCGAGUCUACCCCACCCCCGUUCCAACCCUUUUUCAUUAGCCCCGCACGGAUAUCUACCCUAAUUCUCAUUCCUACGUAGGAAUUGCGCCUAUAGGCUGAUUUUGCGUGAUUCCAUAGCUCAACGCCAUCUAAUUAUAACACUGGUGUGUUCAUAGGAAGGUAUGCAAAUUUGCCGAUUUUACUGGAUUCUACAACUCAAUGUCAUUGAUUAUCCUAAUGUGUUCAUUGAAAGGUGCGUUCUGAAGAAGUAGCUUUUGACCAGAUGAGCUGCUCCAGAUAUCGAGAGCGUCGCCGGAUUGGUGGAGUAGCUAAUCAAGGAUCACCUGCUUGAAUUGUCAGAGGCGGGGCUGAGUCCCCCGGUCUUCCUCCGAAGAUUAAGUUAGCUUAGUGGUAUACUAAUAUGGGAGUAGUUUUAGAGAGAUAAAGAGUAGACUCUUUCCUUUACCCAAGAUUCGUUCCCUUUCUCAGUGGGAUGUUCGGCUAUUUAUAGGAGACAGUUUGGACGGUGGGGUCCAGGUCCCUAGAAGACUGAUAGAGACAGCAUAUCACCUUGAUGUGAUCAAUCUGUACAGAGAGCAGGGUGUCAGAACAAUGCGCAGUGUCAGGGGUCACAUCCACGACUGUCACACCUCGGUUAGUGUGAGUCAUAGGACUGGAUUGAGGUGAUAGCGAGGUGACGAAGUCACCUCGGUCAUCAGGAUGUUAGCCGAGAUAGUUACGACGGGGGAAUGAUCAUUCCGAACUGGGGUACCCUACAGCUUCCCCGAGGCGGAAUGGCCAUCCUCAAUAAGCCCCCCAAACCUCGGUAGGGUAUCAGUUGCUGGUAGCUUGCCGAGGCUUUUGCAGGGAAAUGACGAGAAAGCCCCUGGAUGCUAUAAUGAUAACGCGCAAAAUACGAAGAGUCAGGAGAAUGAUGGGACAACUGUCUGACAAAUUAAUGAAACGUGAAUUGACAUAGGUCAGGAAGAUGGAGGGUUAGGCAACUGUCGGUCAAAAUGGCGGGAGCUAAUAAAUGAGAGAACGCGCCUUCCUGUGUAAGUUCAACGUACAGGCCUUCGGUUUUCCUCCCCCUUUUAUAAAUAAGGGGUCCUCUUGUCACUUUCCACCCUUCUUCGCUUUUUACUUCUUACCAUUUGCCCAUGUGAACAGCUUCCCGACUUGGCGCUACAGCAGAAAACUCAAAUCUUCUUAGAAACAAUAAGUUCGUCUCUUUUCCUUAGCUAAUGGCACGCACAGCCCGUACUCAUAAGGAAAUGGUGAGGCCGGACUUCACUGGGGCAGAAAGGCUCGAUCCAACCCAGGAGGGGGAAACUUCGUCUAACCCCGGGGAAGAGACCUCGUCUCACCCCGGGGAAUCUACAACCGGGGCAUCUUAUGAGGCCGGGACUCCACAAGUACAAAGCUCAGGAGAAUCUGAGGUGCUUUAUAAUGAUGAGCUUGGGACCGAGGUGCCACAUGACGAGGGAGUGCUUGAAUCAGCUACCCCUUCGGAUCUUUCCGCCAUCGACUACGGCCAAGUCUCCAUGUUCAAUAGCAUCAUGUGUGAAGCCCUGACGGUGGCAUUGGUCUUCAAAUACCCCUUCCAAGGUGAUUACAGUAUUCGUCCACCCGGUCCGAAUCAAACGGCAGAACAUCCUCCGAAGGGAAGGGUGGCCAUCUAAGCAGAACAACUGGAGGGCUGAGCUUAGAAUGCCGACCACCAGCCCAACUCGUUCCCAAUGCAGUCCGGGUCCCGGUCGAUUUUGAGAUGCUGUGCCGACAUCAAGAAAUAGUCCCCACAGUCAACCUCUUCCGCCGAUAUUAUACUAUCAAGAAUAGCAGAAGCAAGAAGAGGUGAUUCUACUUCGGGAAUGUAGACACCAAAAUUUUACUCUUUUAUUUAUUUAUUAUUUUUGUUUUAAUUUAUCUCAUAAUUUCAUCUUAGACAUUUUUUAGCAUUUUGGACACCAAGUCUUUUAAUUUAGUUUUAUUUGUUAAUUUGACUCAUUUUUUUGCUUAUUUGUCCAUUAAUUUUAUUUUAAGACAUUUAAGCAUUAAGAUUUUUUGAAAAAAUAUUCUUAAAAUUUUUUAGAUGCAAUUUAUUUAUUUUGUAAAAAAAGGAAAAAAAAAAAGAGCCCAUGCACCAUGCUACACUUGAUCCAAGCUCCUUCUCAAUAUUUCAUUUCAAGGCAGUAGCAUGAAACGGAAAAGAACAGAAAUUUGCAGCAGUUUCUUUGAUCCCAACCUUAUCCAAAAACUGCCAUCCAAUGGCUCAGAUCUUUGGUAAUAAUCUACCCUUCAUCCUCACCUUUGAGGUGAGGGUUUUAGGGACUUAGGGAUUCCUAUAAAAGGAGGAGCCGCAGCAAGAAGCAAGGGGGGAGCAGCUAGGUUUAGAAAAAACAUAGCAGGAGUGAGGAAUAGAAAAAGCUUAUGGUAAAAAGAAAGAGAAAACUGGGAAAGACGCAGCUGGGGGGUUGGCGGCUGAAGGGGGAGGGCUGAAGAAAGAAAAUAUGGAGAGGGAAAAGAAAAGUGUUUGGGGGAGAGUUGAGGGCCGAGAGAGGUUUUGACGGCUGAACGGAGAGAGAACUAGAGAGAAACGAGGAAAAGAGAGGGACUCUCGUGACAACUGAUGAAAGAAAGAGUGUGACGGCUAGGGUUGAGGAAAAGAGGGAGCUGGAAAAAGAGAGCUUCGGCUGUGAGUUUGAGGAGGAAACCAAGAGAGGGAAGACUAAGACUAGAAGGAGGAGUUGCGAGAGAAAAGGAACUGAAGCAGGAAGCUUUGGACAGGAAAACAGACGAAGAAAAAAGGGGAGCUACUGACCCUUACGAGAAGCCGUGAUCACUUCAUCACGCCAUCAUCAGUCGCAAAUCUUCACCGAGAGAGAGAGCACGAGCGCUGUAAGUUAGUCUUGUCCUUCAAACUUCAGUAUAUCUUCACGCACAGAUGCUUGAAGCUGUUGAAGCAUGUAUUCAGUAUCUUUGCCUAUGGAAUGUCUACUGUUUUAUUGUUUAUUUUUUCCUUCCUUCUUGUUUCAUGUUCACUAUGAAUCUGUGGCUUUGUUUGUGAGUAAAAAGGCUGAGUCUUUUGGCUGCCAUAGCUAUGUAUUGAAAUCAUGUGUUUGAGAGCUUGCGAACCAAAAAAGCCAUCAGUUUUUUUUCAUGAAAAUGAAUAGGUGGGAGCCAUGGGUUGUGAGUUUGUUGUCAUGGUUGGGCUUUAAAAUGUUUUCUCGAAGUUUUGAGUUAGUGGUCAGUGGAGUAGAUGUUCAUAAUCACUUUGUAUUGCUGCUGAACUUCGUUUGGGAUUAGGAGAACCUGUUCCAUUGCUUUGUUGCAUUUCAUUUUUCAGGGGCUUUAUUGAAUCCUCCCUCUCCCCUUUGUCCCAAGUUUUUGUGCUGGAGUGAGUUUAGGACCUGUACUGAGUCCCUUCUAGGUCAUUACAUUGGAGCUUAAAGGAGCCAAAAGUCCCUUCGAUCAUACUGCAGCUGUGCGAACAGAUUUCUUUCUUCGCUUAGGUUGCUGAAGUUUGUUUUGGUUUGCUUAACUUUUAGGAUUUGUUUGCUAUUCCUGGGCUGCAUUGGUCUUUUCUCUUACUUUGGUUGUAGCAUGGUGUAGUGGGUGUGUAAUGGACAUGGAUUUCUUUGCAAAAGAAAAUUCCCUCCAAACCUGAAACUAGCAAGGGAAUUGCGGUUUUGAUGUUCCACGUUUCUUUCUCUCAUAUCCUGUUAUGUUUGAGUCAAGUAAAGCUGUAAUGUCUUUGAUUUGUGGUUUGGAUUCGUUUACUUACUUCAUUGAAAUGAUUUAAUUGUGCAUAAAUCACCUUGCUCAUGAUAAAAUGAAUAGCACUAAUCUUGUUUGCUUGAAUCAGAAAUUGAGAAAGUUGUAGCAGCUUUUGUUCUUCAAAUGUUAGCAUGUUUUCUAGAUCAUCUUAUUGCAUUUUGUGUCCUGAAGCCUGUUAGAUUGUUCUCUACCUUUGUUGUAAAUCUCUGCACUUUGUAUUUGAAUGGGUGAAGAUGUUUUUGAGUCUUUGGCAUGAAUGUUUGCCUCAGUCGAAUGAGUAAAAAUUGCAGAAGUAAAGAAGGCUUCAACCUGUUGCAUGUUAAAAUCUGUUGGGGGUAGGUAGUAGCAUUUUGGGGUAAUGGUAACAAUGGGUUAAAUAUCUUAGCACUGGGGUUUGGUGGAUGAACCGAUAAGCUCUGUUUGCAUCACUUCGCAUGAUCAUGUCUCGGUUGCUCAAGAAAAUUGCAGCAAGUUUCACUUUCGGUUGCUGAAAAUUUUCAUUUAUAGGCAAUGGUUUCAGUUUUAAUUUGUUAAUUGGAGUGUUAAAUGUUUUUAAUUGGAGAUGAUUUGAAGUUUUUGUAUGAACUUUGUUUGUCAAAAGUUUACAUACAAUGGUAAAAGCUUGCGGAUGAAUUUGCAGAAGAAUCACAUUAGCUGCCGAAGGUUUUUGUUGCAGAAGCUUGUUUCGUGACUUUUGCAUGGAAUUUGCAUGCAAAAUAAUUUCUACAAAUUUCACUUUAACCUCUUAAUUUUCUCCCUAAUACUACUAUGGCCCGAACAAUUGAAAAAUCAAUCAAUAGGACCCCUCAAACUUUCUUUUUCCUUUCAAUUGGAUCCUUAUUUGGAGAAUAUGAGCUGUUUAGAUGUUUAAGUGUUUUUAUUGAUUCAAUUUCAUUAUUCUUUGUUAAUUAAAAUGAUGCCUUGACCUUUUCUUUAUUUUUGGAGGGUAAACAUGUAAUUUCACUUCAUUAGGGUCCCAACUCAAGGGAGGUACACUCUAUCCCCUUAUUCUUUACAUUAUUUGACCCUACGUGGCCUAUGUGAUGUUACGUGCUUAAUUGCAUGCCUCUUAAAUGUUUUAUUAUUUAUUGAUUGAUUUAUUUAUUUAUUCGCUUUAUUAGCUUUAGUUUGUAUAUUUAUUUUUAGUUCAAUUUUGAUCAUUUGAAAGGCACUUGAAUGCCAAAUUUGUAAUAGUUAGGUAUUUAUUUUAAUUAUUUAUUUAUUUCCCCUUUUAGAUUGUAGUAGGGUUCCCCGAAUGUAAUAGUUAGGGCUCUAUUUGUUUUAUUUGCCUUGUGUAUUUUUGCAUGCCUAUGUGUUAUGUGUUACUCGCUUUCCUAGGGUCUUGCAACUAGAUACCAUGCUUAUGUGUUAUGUGCUAUAUGUGAUUUACGUGUUUACCUGCUUUUAUUAGGUCUUACAUGAUUUAUUUGAUUGUAACUGAUGUGUGACGUCACCACACUAGUCCAAUGCUAGUUGUGGCCAAUUUCUCGAAUCCACACUAGUCCAACGCUAGUCGUGGCCCUUUGUUCCGACUUUUCUCACUGGUCCAAUGCUAGUGGGGAAAUCGUAGACAUGGACUAGUCCAACGCUAGACCCUUAGGAACUAUCCGCACGCUAGAUUAUGAUUGUGUGAUAAAAUCACUUCAUCUCAUGCAUAUUUUCAUUUUUUAGGGUCUUUUAUCACAUUUUGCAUGACAUCCCUUCUUAUACGUAUAUCCCUUCCCCCAUAUUUUUCCUUAUAUAUAUUACUUACCCCUUUGUAUGAAACAUGACAUUAGACUUGCAUUUCAUCUAAGCAUUAGACUUAGGUUAGUACAUUUGCUUGGUUAGACUAGGAAAAGCCCAUUGGAUAUGGGAUAUGGACGAGUUUGGCUUUUCUAAUCUUAGCACGCUCGUAUUCCCUCUAUUAAAGGGAACAUUGAAAGUCACGAGUAUAAGUCCCUCGCACCCAUUAUGAUGCAUUACUUUAGGUCAUACACAUUUGUAUAUUAUUAUUUUCUUUACUUUUUCUUUCUUUCGAGUCUCAUGACUUGCAUUGUUCGUGACUUCUUCGAAGAGUCUUUAUUGGGCGUCACAAUUAAUGUGAUUGGUACCAAGUAAAUUUUGAAGAUACAUUUUGACCCCCGACACCCUCCUAAGUCUAGGGUAUGCAUUUAUAUAGUACAUCCAAAUGUGAUAAAUUUUAGGGGUAAAAUAAGAAAAUCUUUGACUAAAUCGCGCAACUAACCUUGGCUAGGUUGAAAGGGUGCC